UGCAGCAAAUGAUGUUGACAAAACACAAUUAGGAAACAAUCAGAAAGAGGAGGAUGUGAAUUUGUCGAUACAAAUCUCUAACGAACGUCAUGAUUCAGGAAUUGGUAGUUCAGAUACCAGUCACAGGACUAAUUUAGGAAAUAGAAGGAGCAGCAAAACACCUGAACUACAAGAUCACUCAUUGAGAGGGUUGGAAGUGCUUGGAUUGACGUUUGUGGAACUUCAGACUUGAAAACAAGUGUGUGCAGAUCUUUUGGUGAUGGGCAGCCAGAGGAGCAGACGCCAGGGCAGAUACAAGGAAAGAAGCUCCACAGAUGCGGCCUGACUUGCUCAGUGUUCCCAGCAACUUCUGUUUCUAUUGGAGAAGAAGUCGUUUGAACGUGUGCUGCUCUCUCAAGUGUUAAAUAAUGAUUCACGUAGGCAGGCAGUAUGUAGCUCGUGUUUAUUGCAAAAUCUCUGGAGGCGUCAGAGUGUGAUUUGCAUCUUUUAAUUUGGUUGAGUGGAGAACAUGCAAAACUAAAACAUUUAAGCAUUUUCCCCCACUGACAAAAUAACCAGCUGACUGUCUGUAUGUUAUACUUCCAGUGAUAAGCACCCAUGUGAUUCGGGUUGAUUAGCGGCUUAUCACGCUAGUUGGCUUGGCAGCAAAUUAUGUUUAUAAUAGUACAAAGUUCAGGAAUUACCCUUGUCUACUUCAACAUUUUUAUUAAGGGGAACAAUACAGACUGUGUUGUUCACUGAGGAAGUUCACGAGGCAAAACCUAACAUCUUGUUUUUUCCUCCAUGGAUGUGAAACUUGCAGAACAAGAGCUUUACUGAGUGCCGGUUAGGACACAGCUGCCUCAGGUCUUAUGAAAGCAUUUGAUCGUUGCAGCUGCAUACUUAAAGAUAAGCCGUUGGGUGGAUCUGUGUUGGUUCAAGAUAAUCUUGGGCUAAAGAUGUCUGAGUGGUUGAAUUAUCCUUAGCAGCCCCCCACCCCCCCCCCCACCCCCAUCGCUCAAACAAGGCCUACAUCUUGUAAUGUAAAUAUGUUUUAGAGUUUUCCGAGAAGCUUGGCAGACAGUGAUCUCAAUGAUAAGCUGAUGGGUUUAACCGGUUAAACUAGCAGUAAGCCAACCCGAAGCCUUGGUUCUUGCCAACCUGAGGCUGAUACACUCAGCUAACAGUUAAGCUCCUGUUAACCCUGCGCCAAAGCCCCAACAGGGAGGGUGGUCCUUGC